ACAUGUUCCUGCUCUUUAAAACUAAAGAUUAUAAGUUCUAACAAGUAAAUUAAUUGCCCUCAAGAUGCUCCAGUAAACACUUUGCCCAAAAGAUAAGUCAGCAACAUUCCUAUCACAAUGGGUAGGGAUAGUGGCUGAGAUGGUGGCAGGUAUUGGGAGAGUAGUAGCGGUGCACCGGUGGUUCAUAGGCAGGGUUAGUUACAAUGGCGGAGUGCCGCAGUUGAGGUUAAAAUAAUUCACAACUCACUGUUUAUCAUGGAUCAAUUACAUUUAAAUAUCGGACACAAAAAGGGAAUACUCCACACAAUUAGUCUCAAUCAUUUCCCUUCAUUUGAUUCAUAGCAGAAC
rnacentral:misc_RNA from 1 species